UUCCUCCUACGGGGGGCAGCAGUGGGGAAUAUUGCACAAUGGGGGAAACCCUGAUGCAGCGACGCCGCGUGAGUGAAGAAGUAUCUCGGUACGUAAAGCUCUCUCAGCAGGGAAGAAAAAAAGUCUUUGGCUUUGGACGGUACCUGACUAAGAAGCCCCGGCUAACUACGUGCCAGCAGCCGCGGUAAUACGUAGGGGGCAAGCGUUAUCCGGAUUUACUGGGUGUAAAGGGAGCGUAGACGGCAGCACAAGUCUGGAGUGAAAUCCCGGGGCUUAACCCCGGAACUGCUUUGGAAACUGUGCGG
rnacentral:rRNA from 1 species